UACAUAGCUUUUCCAGUGAUU
rnacentral:piRNA from 1 species